AGAGUUUGAUCAUGGCUCAGAACGUACGCUGGCGGCACGCCUAACACAUGCAAGUCGAACGAAGUAGCAAUACUUAGUGGCAGACGGGUGAGUAACAUGUAGGUAUCUGCCCUUUGGCCUGGAAUAACACGAGGAAACUUGUGCUAAUACCGGAUAAGUCUUUACAGAGAAAGCUUUAUGCACCAUUGGAUGAGCCUGCACUUGAUUAGUUUGUUGGUGGGGUAAUGGCCUACCAAGACUGUGAUCAAUAGCUGAUUUGAGAGGAUGAUCAGCCACAUUGGGACUGAGACACGGCCCAAACUCCUACGGGAGGCAGCAGUGGGGAAUCUUGCACAAUGGAGGAAACUCUGAUGCAGCGAUGCCGCGUGAGUGAAGAAGGCCUUUGGGUUGUAAAGCUCUUUCGUCGGGGAAGAAAA
rnacentral:rRNA from 1 species